GAUGAACGCUAGCUACAGGCUUAACACAUGCAAGUCGAGGGGAAACGACAUCGAAAGCUUGCUUUUGAUGGGCGUCGACCGGCGCACGGGUGAGUAACGCGUAUCCAACCUGCCCAUCACUUGGGAAUAACCUUGCGAAAGUAAGACUAAUACCCAAUGAUAUCCCACGAAAGCAUCGGAAUGGGAUUAAAGAUUUAUCGGUGAUGGAUGGGGAUGCGUCUGAUUAGCUUGUUGGCGGGGUAACGGCCCACCAAGGCAACGAUAAGUAGGGGUUCUGAGAGGAAGGUCCCCCACAUUGGAACUGGGACACGGUCCAAACUCCUACGGGAGGCAGCAGUGACGAAUAUUGGUCAAUGGGCGAGAGCAUGAACCAGCCAAGUAGCGUGCAGGAAGACGGCCCUAUGGGUUGUAAACUGCUUUUAGAAGGGAAUAAAGUGGGUCACGUGUGACUUUUUGCAUGUACCUUAUGAAUAAGGACCGGCUAAUUCCGUG
rnacentral:rRNA from 1 species